rnacentral:rRNA from 1 species
UAAUGUUUACACCUUGUCAAAGCCUGAUCUCUCAAAUAACAGAAACUAAGCAGGGCUGAGCCUUGUUAGUACUUGGAUGGGAGACCGCUGGGAAUAUCAUACUAAUGCAUGCU